rnacentral:rRNA from 1 species
GACAGCAGCAGCCGCGGGAAUACAGAGGGUGCGAGCGUUAAUCGGAUUUACUGGGCGUAAAGCGUGCGUAGGCGGCUUUUUAAGUCGGAUGUGAAAUCCCUGAGCUUAACUUAGGAAUUGCAUUCGAUACUGGGAAGCUAGAGUAUGGGAGAGGAUGGUAGAAUUCCAGGUGUAGCGGUGAAAUGCGUAGAGAUCUGGAGGAAUACCGAUGGCGAAGGCAGCCAUCUGGCCUAAUACUGACGCUGAGGUACGAAAGCAUGGGGAGCAAACAGGAUUAGAUACCCGUGUAGUCCCUGUCUCUUAUAC